ensembl:lncRNA
CCCAUGUUCAGGUGUUUUUUAGCAGUUAGAAACCCAUUGUAAAGAGAAGAAACAUUAUUUUGAAAUCCAAACGUCCAUUGCCUUGUCUAUAUCUACAUAUCAACGACUGUGAAGUCCCCAUGUCACCACUAGGGCGCCUCAUUAGUGCAUGGACUCAGGCCACCAUGUUGGUACUAAGGAGCUCUUGUUUAGCGCUACCAUCUAAAGAGAAUCUCCUUCAUCACACCAUCGGUUCAUAAAUGUAUGAAAAAUAGUGUUGGUCGGUUUAGUUAAAUUUAGGAGUUGCUGAAAAAAUGAAAACAGUUGGCUUUAGCUUAAUCCAUUACCUGUAAGUUCCAUCAACCACUUUGUUGCAACUCAUUCAUUUAGACCAUCAUGUAAACAUCUUAAGUCUGGUGUCUUCUAAACAGGGGAAGGGGGGAUGUGUCCACUUUCUAUUCAACAGUUAUAUGCCUUUUACUGUGCUACAUGUACCACAUCACUGUGGAAGAGAAGAUCAGAGGAACAGAGCAGUUGGAGGUUUGGUGGUGGGGCAGAGUGCCUUACUUGAGCUAAUGCAGGGCUGUUACCAUUGGGGUUCUGUUCACUUUCUUUUCUGUUUGAUUUCAGACUUCUACACAGAGCAGGAGGGGUGUACCUCCAUCUGUGAAGAAUACGUCCGGUAGUGAAGCUGGUGGCACAGAGUGACCCCCCCCCCCUUUCCCCCUUAGUGUUAGGAAGUGGCCAACAUGUAGCCUUCAGUAAUCGGCCAUUCUAGUGGAAAAACACAAAGGAAACCUUCAAAGCAGUCUAAAUAGAGGACUGUUGUCAAGCUGGUUAUUUUGUUAGGUUACACAGAAGUCAUACAAAACAGACAGAAAGUAAUUGACAAGUCAGAAGAAAUUAUAACCAAAUUGUUGAGUAGUCCAUGUUAAUUUAAAAUGCAUUGUGAAAGUCCAAUAGCCAUCGGUUGUGAAUUUCACCAGCAGGGGUUUGUUAGUUAGAAGCAUCAACGGCUCUUUGCUGGAGUUCAGACACAAACCACUAUCCUAUCUGAUGGAAAUUUGUUUUAAUAGUAGAAAUGUCUUAAGUAUACUUGGUUCAAAUAUAUCAGCAUUGGUGUCAAUUGAUCCAUUCCCAUUAGGUCAACAGUUUUUUUUUUUAUUGCAUUUGAACAAUGCAUCCAUAAGAAUUAUUUCCUUUGACCAUCAUAAUGCAUGCUACAGCUGAAAUAGUCACUUGAAAGAACAACUCUCUUUUUGUUUUGUCAGUUAGAUAAUUUUGUCAAGACAAAACAAAUGCCUGUCUAUCAGAAACAAGGACACAUCAAAGCGCUGCAUGAAAUCACCAGCGUCCGUCCGGUGAACGUCUCAGUCACCAGGGGAACCAGAAGGCUUGGGGGAGAGGAGCUGGCUUAUAUGCAAGUGGUUCGUUAGAGCUUAUUUUGAUGAGCUGUGAGGCUGACCUUUAGACUACCAUGAACAAAAAUAGAUCUUGUACAAAUACAUAGUGAUAAAAUGUAUAUGGUGAUUCCCAGUACAUCCACAUGGUAUUCCAUUUUGUUUCAGUUGAUAUCAUCAGUCCCGACCUCUCUGACCUUCCACUUGCACAUGAACUCAUACGCCGUUGUAUUGAACUCUUGUUCAUGUGCAGUAGUUACUGAGGUGCACACCCGGGCCGCAGGGUGUGCCGCUGAUGUCUCCAGAUUCACGGCGCUCCAAGCAGGGGGCUUUUGUAUGGAAAGACGAAACGUUGACCAGUCCCAAUUGAAUCCAAUAUAAGUGUGGUGUUGACUGUGUAUUAUCCACUCUGUACAGCUGUAUUCCUACAGAUAUGCUUUACUGUAUCAUUGAUACUGUAGUUUCAAAGACGUGAACAAAUAUUUUUAUGAAAGGCGAGAGUACGCAUAUAUUACAUUUUGCUAAAAAAAAAGAAAUCUUGUUUACUGAAGG